rnacentral:rRNA from 1 species
GAAACGAUGGCUAAUACCGCAUGAUGCCUACGGGCCAAAGAGGGGGACCUUCGGGCCUCUCGCGUCAGGAUAUGCCCAGGUGGGAUUAGCUAGUUGGUGAGGUAAGGGCUCACCAAGGCGACGAUCCCUAGCUGGUCUGAGAGGAUGAUCAGCCACACUGGAACUGAGACACGGUCCAGACUCCUACGGGAGGCAGCAGUGGGGAAUAUUGCACAAUGGGCGCAAGCCUGAUGCAGCCAUGCCGCGUGUGUGAAGAAGGCCUUCGGGUUGUAAAGCACUUUCAGUUGUGAGGAAGGUGGUGUCGUUAAUAGCGGCAUCAUUUGACGUUAGCAACAGAAGAAGCACCGGCUAACUCCGUGCCAGCAGCCGCGGUAAUACGGAGGGUGCGAGCGUUAAUCGGAAUUACUGGGCGUAAAGCGCAUGCAGGUGGUUUGUUAAGUCAGAUGUGAAAGCCCGGGGCUCAACCUCGGAACUGCAUUUGAAACUGGCAGACUAGAGUACUGUAGAGGGGGGUAGAAUUUCAGGUGUAG